AGCGCGCCUGGCUCGCCGUUCCCUCGCUGCUCUGCGGGGAGGGCCGCCUCUCCUCUCCCUCCCCCUUCCCGUUGGCUGCCUCCGCCUCCUUCGUCUGCCUCCACCCUCAAACCCUAACCCCGUCUUUCGGGGGCUGGGCUCGGAGCCCUCAGUCUGCCGGAGCUCUGGAUUUGGGCGCCUAACAAGUCCAGGACGCCUACCCCCAGGAUGGACAGCCGCUACACCAGCACUGCGGGCCUCGGGGAUUUAAACCAGCUGAGUGCGGCCAUCCCAGCCACCCGGGUGGAGGUGUCCGUGUCCUGCAGAAAUCUCCUUGACAGAGACACGUUUUCUAAAUCGGAUCCAAUUUGUGUCUUAUAUGUACAAGGAGUUGGAAAUAAAGAAUGGAGAGAGUUUGGAAGGACUGAAGUAAUUGAUAAUACUUUAAAUCCUGAUUUUGUAAGAAAAUUUAUUCUGGACUACUUUUUUGAAGAAAGAGAGAAUCUUCGUUUUGACUUAUAUGAUGUUGAUUCAAAGAGUUCCAACUUAUCCAAACAUGACUUUCUGGGACAAGUGCUUUGUACACUGGGGGAGAUUGUUGGUUCACAGGGAAGUCGCCUGGAAAAGCCAAUAGUAGGAAUUCCAGGGAAGAAAUGUGGUACAAUCAUACUUACAGCAGAGGAAUUAAACUGUUGCAGGGAUGCUGUUCUGAUGCAGUUUUGUGCAAACAAAUUGGACAAGAAGGACUUCUUUGGAAAAUCAGAUCCUUUUCUUGUAUUUUAUCGAAGUAAUGAAGAUGGCAGUUUCACAAUUUGCCACAAAACAGAAGUUGUCAAAAACACUCUAAAUCCUGUGUGGCAAGCAUUCAAGAUCUCAGUCAGAGCUUUAUGUAAUGGCGAUUAUGACAGAACAAUCAAAGUAGAGGUGUAUGACUGGGAUCGAGAUGGGAGUCAUGAUUUCAUUGGAGAAUUUACAACAAGCUAUAGGGAACUUUCUAGAGGGCAGUCACAAUUCAACGUGUAUGAGGUGAUAAAUCCCAAAAAGAAAGGGAAAAAGAAGAAGUACAUUAAUUCAGGAACAGUCACCUUACUUUCUUUCUUAGUAGAAACAGAAGUUUCAUUCCUUGACUAUAUUAAGGGAGGAACGCAAAUCAAUUUCACAGUGGCUAUUGAUUUUACAGCAUCAAAUGGCAACCCUGCCCAGCCAACUUCUCUCCACUACAUGAAUCCUUAUCAGCUGAAUGCCUAUGGUAUGGCACUGAAAGCAGUGGGAGAAAUCGUUCAAGACUAUGACAGUGAUAAAAUGUUCCCAGCUUUAGGUUUUGGUGCAAAACUGCCUCCAGAUGGAAGGAUAUCUCAUGAGUUUGCUUUGAAUGGGAACCCUCAAAACCCCUACUGUGAUGGCAUUGAGGGUGUGAUGGAGGCUUAUUAUAGGAGUCUGAAAUCUGUACAACUGUAUGGGCCAACCAACUUUGCUCCUGUAAUUAAUCAUGUAGCAAGAUACGCUGCUUCUGUAAAGGAUGGCUCCCAGUAUUUUGUGCUCCUGAUUGUGACUGAUGGGGUUAUCUCGGACAUGGCUCAAACUAAGGAGUCUAUAGUUAAUGCUUCAAAACUUCCAAUGUCAAUAAUUAUAGUAGGUGUUGGACCAGCAGAAUUUGAUGCAAUGGUUGAAUUGGAUGGAGAUGAUGUAAGAGUUUCCUCCAGAGGAAAAUAUGCUGAAAGGGACAUUGUGCAGGUUUGUCCAUGAAUCGCAUGACAGCAGAAAGCAGACAAGGCUUAUUCACUCUUCUGUCUCUAACAUACAACACAAGACCUCACUCUUAGUAGCUAAUCAAUUGAAUUAUUGAAACAGCAUGGGAGAAGGAUUCAAUGAAUACGGAUUUGGCUGUGAGGAAGAGACAUGGAGGACUACAGUUAUUAGAAUUCCAUCUACUGGUUGUUAAGACUGAAUUCCAUUUAACUUUCUGAGGAGGAAUAAAUACUCAAAAUCCUACCUGCAUCCUCCAUUAGAUAAUCUAUUUCCUGUAACUAUUUCCUAAACUGCAGUAAUGACUUUGAUUUGGCAUUUAAUUGCUUAUACAGCACUAUCUGACAUGGGACCUCUGCCUACAUCUGUCAAAAUUCUGCUCACCCACAAGGCCUUGGCUCAAAUUCUGCUUUUCAACAUUGGUUUCCUGCAUUUCCUAGAUUGCUGGGAAUCAAUACCUCUUUUUCUCCAACCUGUACAUGGGUGUCCUGCUCUGCCUCCUGGUGGGAGGGGAGGGGCUUUGUUUGCAAUGGAGAGUCUUACUGCUGUAACACUGCUGAGGGGCAGUUGAAGUCUGAGGUUCAUUAACGAGAAGCCUAUCUGCUUAAAGAUGUGAGUCAUGUUCUUGAAUAUAUCUUUUGUCAUAAAUAAAGGUAAUGCUUUACCACCCAUCCACUUUACUCCUUUGUCCUAUUUCUCAUUUCUUUAGAGAAGAAUGGACUAAUUUAUCCAGCUUUUAAAAGACCCGAACCAUCUCUCAAUGAGUUCCCUGCCCGCAAUGUUACCCAGUCUCCCACACGGCUCUGCACAGCCACUCCUGACUGGGAUUCCUCCUAUCUUGCAGGACAGAAUCCACAAAUCUUAGUUUCUGUUCUCCCCUAAAGCAGAGCCCAAGACAAUGUCUGAGGUGUGUGUAGUAAUCUCCCAGAGUGGGAGUGAGGAACUUGAGAGAUGGAAAGAGGCAAAUCUAUUACAAGGCUAUGAUAUCAAAGUCAGUGGAGGCAACAGGGCUCCCUCCUGCCCCCUAAACUUCUGAAGCUCAAAAGGAAGGCUUCAUCCACCCCAGGAUUAACUAGGAGAAGUGUAUCUGUGAGCCCCCAUCUACUAUUGGUUAGUGUGGCCUGUGCCUCUGCACCGCUCACACAUGCUUGAAGAAUGGGCUACUCCAGCAUCUGUGGCAUUGGAGCCUUUCCAGGGUGAGAAGGUAAAGACAUUCAGUACGUGCCCGAGGGAAGAUAUUGUCUGCAAAAUGUAAGCUGAAGCCUGCGUCAUCAGCCAUGGCUGAAAUCAGAAGUGAGGCUGAGAGAGUGGGUUGGGACUUGGGUUAUCAGAGGCAUAUGAAACACAAGGCCUUCAAGACACACACUGAACUGAAAUUGCCUAUCCUUCCAGCCUCUUGUUCUGCCCACAUAAAAAGCAACUUGGAUUAAAGUGCAUGCUGUUCUAAGAAUGCAUCAUUCUAUUUCAUACUCCAUGCUUUUCCACACUCCGAUCCUUUUUCAUUCUCAAGCCCACUCAUCUUCCACAGCUCUGCUUGGGUAUCUCUGCAUAAGUUAAUGUCUCCUUCCUUUUGUCAGAAUAAAGGAAACCUCAUUUAAAAUGGUGUCAGGAAGCCCUGAAGGGGGCGCUCUCAUGCACUACCACUCAGCUUUGCUUGCACAUCUCAGUAGUGAAACAGCUUACCUAACACACUCUAGCAGGAGAAAGAGAGAUUCUUCUCCUUGCCCAGCAACAGCCAGCCAGCGGGAAACUGCUUCUCAGCCAGUCAGAGCCACCAACUACCCUGAACUCUUACUCUUUUCCAGUGAACUUUUGUAGAAAACAUUCCCUCCCAACUUCCUCUUUUUAAUUCUAUGAAAGCGCCUGUCCUUUGUUCUCUGGACUUCCCUAUGGUUCAUCAUAAUUUGCU